rnacentral:rRNA from 1 species
GACGAACGCUGGCGGCGUGCCUAAUACAUGCAAGUAGAACGCUGAAGAGAGGAGCUUGCUCUUCUUGGAUGAGUUGCGAACGGGUGAGUAACGCGUAGGUAACCUGCCUGGUAGCGGGGGAUAACUAUUGGAAACGAUAGCUAAUACCGCAUAAAAUUGAUUAUUGCAUGAUAAUUAAUUGAAAGAUGCAAUUGCAUCACUACCAGAUGGACCUGCGUUGUAUUAGCUAGUUGGUGAGGUAACGGCUCACCAAGGCGACGAUACAUAGCCGACCUGAGAGGGUGAUCGGCCACACUGGGACUGAGACACGGCCCAGACUCCUACGGGAGGCAGCAGUAGGGAAUCUUCGGCAAUGGGGGGAACCCUGACCGAGCAACGCCGCGUGAGUGAAGAAGGUUUUCGGAUCGUAAAGCUCUGUUGUAAGAGAAGAACGGGUGUGAGAGUGGAAAGUUCACACUGUGACGGUAUCUUACCAGAAAGGGACGGCUAACUACGUGCCAGCAGCCGCGGUAAUACGUAGGUCCCGAGCGUUGUCCGGAUUUAUUGGGCGUAAAGCGAGCGCAGGCGGUUAGAUAAGUCUGAAGUUAAAGGCUGUGGCUUAACCAUAGUAUGCUUUGGAAACUGUUUAACUUGAGUGCAGAAGGGGAGAGUGGAAUUCCAUGUGUAGCGGUGAAAUGCGUAGAUAUAUGGAGGAACACCGGUGGCGAAAGCGGCUCUCUGGUCUGUAACUGACGCUGAGGCUCGAAAGCGUGGGGAGCAAACAGGGUUAGAUACCCUGGUAGUCCACGCCGUAAACGAUGAGUGCUAGGUGUUAGGCCCUUUCCGGGGCUUAGUGCCGCAGCUAACGCAUUAAGCACUCCGCCUGGGGAGUACGACCGCAAGGUUGAAACUCAAAGGAAUUGACGGGGGCCCGCACAAGCGGUGGAGCAUGUGGUUUAAUUCGAAGCAACGCGAAGAACCUUACCAGGUCUUGACAUCCCUCUGACCGCUCUAGAGAUAGAGUUUUCCUUCGGGACAGAGGUGACAGGUGGUGCAUGGUUGUCGUCAGCUCGUGUCGUGAGAUGUUGGGUUAAGUCCCGCAACGAGCGCAACCCCUAUUGUUAGUUGCCAUCAUUCAGUUGGGCACUCUAGCGAGACUGCCGGUAAUAAACCGGAGGAAGGUGGGGAUGACGUCAAAUCAUCAUGCCCCUUAUGACCUGGGCUACACACGUGCUACAAUGGCUGGUACAACGAGUCGCAAGCCGGUGACGGCAAGCUAAUCUCUGAAAGCCAGUCUCAGUUCGGAUUGUAGGCUGCAACUCGCCUACAUGAAGUCGGAAUCGCUAGUAAUCGCGGAUCAGCACGCCGCGGUGAAUACGUUCCCGGGCCU